rnacentral:rRNA from 1 species
GUGAUAUGAACCGUUAUAACCGGCGAUACCCGAAUGGGGAAACCCAGUGUGAUUCGUCACACUAUCAUUAACUGAAUCCAUAGGUUAAUGAGGCGAACCGGGGGAACUGAAACAUCUAAGUACCCCGAGGAAAAGAAAUCAACCGAGAUUCCCCCAGUAGCGGCGAGCGAACGGGGAGGAGCCCAGAGCCUGAAUCAGCAUGUGUGUUAGUGGAAGCGUCUGGAAAGGCGCGCGAUACAGGGUGACAGCCCCGUACACAAAAGCGCAUGUGCUGUGAGCUCGAUGAGUAGGGCGGGACACGUGGUAUCCUGUCUGAAUAUGGGGGGACCAUCCUCCAAGGCUAAAUACUCCUGACUGACCGAUAGUGAACCAGUACCGUGAGGGAAAGGCGAAAAGAACCCCGGCGAGGGGAGUGAAAAAGAACCUGAAACCGUGUACGUACAAGCAGUGGGAGCACCCUUUGGGUGUGACUGCGUACCUUUUGUAUAAUGGGUCAGCGACUUAUAUUCUGUAGCAAGGUUAACCGAAUAGGGGAGCCGGAGGGAAACCGAGUCUUAAUUGGGCGUUAAGUUGCAGGGUAUAGACCCGAAACCCGGUGAUCUAGCCAUGGGCAGGUUGAAGGUUGGGUAACACUAACUGGAGGACCGAACCGACUAAUGUUGAAAAAUUAGCGGAUGACCUGUGGCUGGGGGUGAAAGGCCAAUCAAACCGGGAGAUAGCUGGUUCUCCCCGAAAGCUAUUUAGGUAGCGCCUCGUGAAUUCAUCUCCGGGGGUAGAGCACUGUUUCGGCUAGGGGGCCAUCCCGGCUUACCAACCCGAUGCAAACUGCGAAUACCGGAGAAUGUUAUCACGGGAGACACACGGCGGGUGCUAACGUCCGUCGUGAAGAGGGAAACAACCCAGACCGCCAGCUAAGGUCCCAAAGUCAUGGUUAAGUGGGAAACGAUGUGGGAAGGCCCAGACAGCCAGGAUGUUGGCUUAGAAGCAGCCAUCAUUUAAAGAAAGCGUAAUAGCUCACUGGUCGAGUCGGCCUGCGCGGAAGAUGUAACGGGGCUAAACCAUGCACCGAAGCUGCGGCAGCGACACUGUGUGUUGUUGGGUAGGGGAGCGUUCUGUAAGCCUGCGAAGGUGGCCUGUGAGGGUUGCUGGAGGUAUCAGAAGUGCGAAUGCUGACAUAAGUAACGAUAAAGCGGGUGAAAAGCCCGCUCGCCGGAAGACCAAGGGUUCCUGUCCAACGUUAAUCGGGGCAGGGUGAGUCGACCCCUAAGGCGAGGCCGAAAGGCGUAGUCGAUGGGAAACGGGUUAAUAUUCCCGUACUUGGUGUUACUGCGAAGGGGGGACGGAGAAGGCUAUGUUGGCCGGGCGACGGUUGUCCCGGUUUAAGCGUGUAGGUGUGUGUUCCAGGUAAAUCCGGUUCACUUUAACACUGAGGCGUGACGACGAGGCACUACGGUGCUGAAGCAACAAAUGCCCUGCUUCCAGGAAAAGCCUCUAAGCAUCAGGUAACAUCAAAUCGUACCCCAAACCGACACAGGUGGUCAGGUAGAGAAUACCAAGGCGCUUGAGAGAACUCGGGUGAAGGAACUAGGCAAAAUGGUGCCGUAACUUCGGGAGAAGGCACGCUGACACGUAGGUGAAGUGAUUUACUCAUGGAGCUGAAGUCAGUCGAAGAUACCAGCUGGCUGCAACUGUUUAUUAAAAACACAGCACUGUGCAAACACGAAAGUGGACGUAUACGGUGUGACGCCUGCCCGGUGCCGGAAGGUUAAUUGAUGGGGUCAGCGCAAGCGAAGCUCCUGAUCGAAGCCCCGGUAAACGGCGGCCGUAACUAUAACGGUCCUAAGGUAGCGAAAUUCCUUGUCGGGUAAGUUCCGACCUGCACGAAUGGCGUAAUGAUGGCCAGGCUGUCUCCACCCGAGACUCAGUGAAAUUGAACUCGCUGUGAAGAUGCAGUGUACCCGCGGCAAGACGGAAAGACCCCGUGAACCUUUACUAUAGCUUGACACUGAACAUUGAGCCUUGAUGUGUAGGAUAGGUGGGAGGCUUUGAAGUGUGGACGCCAGUCUGCAUGGAGCCGACCUUGAAAUACCACCCUUUAAUGUUUGAUGUUCUAACGUGGACCCGUUACCCGGGUUGCGGACAGUGUCUGGUGGGUAGUUUGACUGGGGCGGUCUCCUCCUAAAGAGUAACGGAGGAGCACGAAGGUUGGCUAAUCCUGGUCGGACAUCAGGAGGUUAGUGCAAUGGCAUAAGCCAGCUUGACUGCGAGCGUGACGGCGCGAGCAGGUGCGAAAGCAGGUCAUAGUGAUCCGGUGGUUCUGAAUGGAAGGGCCAUCGCUCAACGGAUAAAAGGUACUCCGGGGAUAACAGGCUGAUACCGCCCAAGAGUUCAUAUCGACGGCGGUGUUUGGCACCUCGAUGUCGGCUCAUCACAUCCUGGGGCUGAAGUAGGUCCCAAGGGUAUGGCUGUUCGCCAUUUAAAGUGGUACGCGAGCUGGGUUUAGAACGUCGUGAGACAGUUCGGUCCCUAUCUGCCGUGGGCGCUGGAGAACUGAGGGGGGCUGCUCCUAGUACGAGAGGACCGGAGUGGACGCAUCACUGGUGUUCGGGUUGUCAUGCCAAUGGCACUGCCCGGUAGCUAAAUGCGGAAGAGAUAAGUGCUGAAAGCAUCUAAGCACGAAACUUGCCCCGAGAUGAGUUCUCCCUGAGACUUAGAGUCUCCUGAAGGAACGUUGAAGACGACGACGUUGAUAGGCCGGGUGUGUAAGCGCAGCGAUGCGUUGAGCUAACCGGUACUAAUGAACCGUGAGGCUUAACCUUACAACGCCGAAG